GGAGGGAUGGUAGAGCGGUUUAUUGCACCGGUCUUGAAAACCGGAGAUCCGCAAGGAUCCGUGGGUUCGAAUCCCACUCCCUCCG
rnacentral:tRNA from 1 species